rnacentral:rRNA from 1 species
UACGUAGGGGGCUAGCGUUGUCCGGAAUCAUUGGGCGUAAAGAGCGUGUAGGCUGCUCGGUAAGUCCGCUGUAAAAGUCAAAGGCUCAACCUUUGAAUGUCAGUGGAUACUGCCGGGCUAGAGUCCGGAAGAGGCGAGUGGAACUCCUGGUGUAGCGGUGGAAUGCGCAGAUAUCGGGAGGAACACCGGUGGCGAAGGCGGUUCUCUGGGCCACUACUGACGCUGAGAAGCGAAAGCAUGGGGAGCGAACAGG